ensembl:lncRNA
AGGAGCCGCUUCUUUCCCAUUUUAUCCCCCAUUUUUCCCAUUUUUUCCCCCAUUUUUUCCCCAUUAUUUUUUCCCAUUUCCCCACUAUUUUUCCCCAUAUUUUUCCCCCAUUUCCCCAUAUNNNNNNNNNNNNNNNNNNNNCUCCUCCACCAUCCGGCACCUGAAGGAGCCGCUUCUUUCCCAUUUUAUCCCCCAUUUUUCUCAUUAAUUUCCCCAUAUUUUCCCCAUAUUUUUCCCCAUAUUUUUCCCCAUAUUUUUUUCCCAUUUCCCCAUAUUUUUCCCCAUUAUUUUUUCCCAUUUCCCCACUAUUUUUCCCCAUAUUUUUUUCCCAUUUCCCCCAUUAUUUUUCCCAUUUUUCCCAUAUUUUUUCCCCCAUUUUUCUUCCCAUUUCCCCCAUAUUUUCCCCAUUAUUUCCCCACUAUUUUCCCCCCAUUUCCCCACUAUUUUUCCCCAUAUUUUUUUCCCAUUUCCCCACUAUUUUUCCCCAUAUUUUUUUCCCAUUUCCCCAUAUUUUUCCCCAUAUUUUUCCCAUUUUUCCCCCAUUAUUUCCCCAUAUUUUCCCCAUAUUUUCCCCAUAUUUUUCCCCAUAUUUACCCCAUAUUUUUCCCCAUAUUUUUUUCCCAUUUCCCCAUAUUUUUUUCCCAUUUCCCAGGCUCCCAGCUGCCGUGUUUCCACGGCUCCUCCACCAUCCGCCACCUGAAGGAGCCGCUUCUUUUCCCAUUAUUUUUCCCCCCAUUUCCCCACUAUUUUCCCAUUAUUUUUUCCCAUUUCCCCACUAUUUUCCCCCAUAUUUUUCCCGUUAUUUCCCCAUAUUCUCCCCAUAUUUUUCCCAUUAUUUCCCCAUAUUCUCCCCAUAUUUUUCCCAUUAUUUCCCCAUAUUUUUCCCAUUUUUCCCCCAUUAUUUCCCCAUAUUUUCCCCAUUAUUUUUUCCCAUUUCCCCACUAUUUUCCCAUAUUUUUUUCCCAUUUCCCCAUAUUUUUUCCCCAUAUUUUUCCCCCAUUUCCCCACUAUUUUCCCCCAUUAUUUCCCCAUUUUUCCCCAUAUUUUUCCCCAUAUUUUUUCCCAUUUUCCCACUAUUUUCCCCCAUUUCCCAGGCUCCCAGCUGCCGUGUUUCCACGGCUCCUCCACCAUCCGGCACCUGAAGGAGCCGCUUCUUUUCCCAUUUUAUCCCCCAUUUUCCCCAUUUUUUCCCCCAUUUUUUUUCCCAUUUCCCCACUAUUUCCCCCCAUUUUUCCCAUAUUUUCCCCCCAUUUCCCCAUAUUUUUCCCCAUAUUUUUUUCCCAUUUCCUCACUGUUUCCCCCAUAUUUUUUCCAUUUUUCCCCCAUUAUUUCCCCAUAUUUUCCCCAUAUUUUUCCCCAUUAUUUUUUCCCAUUUCCUCACUAUUUCCCCAUAUUUUUCCCAUUUUUCCCCCAUUAUUUCCCCAUAUUUUCCCCAUAUUUUUCCCCAUUAUUUUUUCCCAUUUCCCCACUAUUUCCCCGUAUUUUUUCCCCAUAUUUUUCCCCCAUUUCCCCACUAUUUUCCCCAUAUUUUUUUCCCAUUUCCUCACUAUUUCCCCCAUAUUUUUCCCAUUUUUCCCCCAUUAUUUCCCCAUAUUUUCCCCAUAUUUUCCCCAUAUCUUCCCCAUAUUUUUCCCCCAUUUCCCCAUAUUUUUCCCCAUAUUUUUCCCAUUAUUUCCCCAUAUUUUUUUCCCAUUUCCCCACUAUUUUCCCCCAUUUCCCAGGCUCCCAGCUGCCGUGUUUCCACGGCUCCUCCACCAUCCGGCACCUGAAGGAGCCGCUUCUUUUCCCAUUUUAUCCCCCAUUUUUCCCCAUUAUUUCCCCAUAUUUUCCCCAUAUUUUUCCCCCAUUUCCCCACAUUUUUCCCCAUAUUUUUUUCCCAUUUCCCCACUAUUUUUCCCCAUAUUUUUUUCCCAUUUCCCC